rnacentral:lncRNA from 1 species
GUUGUUAUUUAUUUCGUGUAGAAUAGUUGGAGCAACAACAAUCUUCUUAUAAAAUGAUAGGGAUCCCCUUUAUAUAGAAGGAGGGAUCUAAACAUAGUACCGACUGCAUUAAUUGUACAAGUAUAGAGAUGGGAUGGCUAGAUAUGACACCAGGCUCUGCAUUGCUACCUGUACACAUUGGGAACUACCCAUCGCCCGCAUUGUCAUUUGAUCAGGCGUAAGUGGAUAUGGAGGGAGGAAACUCGACUGCUACCUUUCUGCCUCGAGAUCUCGAGUUGAUUUCCCGAAACACCUUAAUGACGAGAGAUUGGACCCUCUGAUUUCACUUUGUACAACCUCCUAAUCAUGCAUGAGUUUAAUAUGAAGAUCUAACUAACAUCAGCAGAUGCUUACAUAUCAGUCAUUAGUUCGAUAAAACAAUUAACAAAAUUAUAGAGAAGCAUAAAAGAUAUGAGAGUACACUCAAAUAUCAUGACCAUAAACCAACAUCAUAAUAGUAAUAUGAUUUUUAUCCACAAUAGUUUUAUACUCUAUAGGAUUAAAUGAACCAAUAUAAGAGAUGAAUGAUGUUCAAGAUAGGGAGACUCUAUACUAUGCAAGUUUAUAUCAACUAUACAGAUUAAGAAGUGGUAGUCUAAAUAUGAUGGGGUUCCAUUGAAAUUACUGACCUAAUAAUAAUACUCAGCCAUAGCAGAUAUUAUUAUAGCCUAAUUCAUAAAAGAUGACUUGAUCAGGACAAAAUAGAAACUGAAAUAGUUACUGAAGUUCAUCAGUGAGUUGGCCUAGUUACCUUAAUGAGAUUGUUUCAUAUAAUAAGUCUCACAUAUGUGAUUAAUAGUUAAAUAUGAACACAAGACUUUCAUAGAAAUAACUCAAAGGCUACUUCAGACUAAUAAACACUCUUGUGAAGAAAGUAAAUACCUUAAACAUUUAAACUUGACAUACUUCGACUAAGUAGUAAACGAUUAAAGCAUGAGUAUUUAUAUCCAUAUUUUUUAAAAUCAUCAAAUAACAACUUCAUGUACAGACUAUACUAAACAGGAUUAGUGUGACAGGCAUGAAGAACUCAACAGAUUAUUAGAGAGAUCUGAAUAUAGGAAACUGUCAAGGCAGAUUAAACAAAUUUAUUGUAUAAGAUGUUCGAUUCAGAAUAACAGUCAUCGAGGUCACAUAAUGACUCAAUCAAACUGAUGUAUGACACAAAAAAGUAUAAUAGCCAACCAUAAAUUAGUAGCAAAUCAUUAUGAGCAGGAACAAAUAGUUAUAAUCUAAUGAAAACUAUCAUAAACUAAUGUAGUCGAUAUAAUGACAACAGUGUAUUUAGCAUUUUGGAUCAAAAAUCAAAUGAGAAAGAGUGGAGGUAUACUGAUCUCCUUUUGUGCAACAGAUCAACUUAGCUAUGCAAGAAACAGAGCUUCAAGCUUUGAGCAGUGAA